GGAGACGUGACCGAGUGGCCGAAGGUGCUCCCCUGCUAAGGGAGUAUGCGCCAAAAGCGCAUCAAGGGUUCGAAUCCCUUCGUCUCCGCCA
rnacentral:tRNA from 5 species